rnacentral:rRNA from 1 species
AUUGAACGCUGGCGGCAGGCCUAACACAUGCAAGUCGAGCGGAUGAAGGGAGCUUGCUCCUGGAUUCAGCGGCGGACGGGUGAGUAAUGCCUAGGAAUCUGCCUGGUAGUGGGGGAUAACGUCCGGAAACGGGCGCUAAUACCGCAUACGUCCUGAGGGAGAAAGUGGGGGAUCUUCGGACCUCACGCUAUCAGAUGAGCCUAGGUCGGAUUAGCUAGUUGGUGGGGUAAAGGCCUACCAAGGCGACGAUCCGUAACUGGUCUGAGAGGAUGAUAGGUCACACUGGAAGUGGGCCAGGGUCCAGACUCCUACGGGAGGCAGCAGUGGGGAAUAUUGGACAAUGGGCGAAAGCCUGAUCCAGCCAUGCCGCGUGUGUGAAGAAGGUCUUCGGAUUGUAAAGCACUUUAAGUUGGGAGGAAGGGCAGUAAGUUAAUACCUUGCUGUUUUGACGGUACCAACAGAAUAAGCACCGGCUAACUUCGUG